ACAGAGGUGCCAAGCGUUAGGCGGAAUCACUGGGCUUAAAGCGUGUGUAGGCGGAAUGGUAAGUACCUUGUGAAAUCCCACAGCUCAACUGUGGAACUGCUCGGUAUACUGCUUUUCUUGAGCCACUUAGGGGCUGUCGGAACAAACGGUGGAGCGGUGAAAUGCGUAGAUAUCGGGAGGAACACCAGUGGCGAAGGCGGCUUCCUGGACCAGUACUGACGCUGAGGCGCGAAAGCUAGGGGAGCAAACAGGA
rnacentral:rRNA from 1 species